rnacentral:misc_RNA from 1 species
GAUGAAGAACGCAGCGAAAUGCGAUAAGUAAUGUGAAUUGCAGAAUUCAGUGAAUCAUCGAAUCUUUGAACGCACAUUGCGCCCGUCAGUAUUCUGGCGGGCAUGCCUGUUCGAGCGUCAUUACGCCCCUCAAGUCCCCUGUGGACUUGGUGUUUGGGAUCGGCGAGGCUGGUUUUCCAGCACAGCCGUCCCUUAAAUUAAUUGGCGGUCUCGCCGUGGCCCUCCUCUGCGCAGUAGUAAAACACUCGCAACAGGAGCCCGGCGCGGUCCACUGCCGUAAAACCCCCCAACUUUUUAUAGUUGACCUCGAAUCAGGUAGGACUACCCGCUGAACUUAAGCAUAUCAAUAAGCGGAGGA